CUCACCAAGGCUUCGAUCCGUAGCUGGUUUGAGAGGACGACCAGCCACACUGGGACUGAGACACGGCCCAGACUCCUACGGGAGGCAGCAGUGGGGAAUUUUGGACAAUGGGGGCAACCCUGAUCCAGCAAUGCCGCGUGUGCGAAGAAGGCCUUCGGGUUGUAAAGCACUUUUGGCGGGAACGAAACGGUGCCGGAUAAUACCUGGCGCCACUGACGGUACCCGCAGAAUAAGCACCGGCUAACUACGUGCCAGCAGCCGCGGUAAUACGUAGGGUGCAAGCGUUAAUCGGAAUUACUGGGCGUAAAGCGUGCGCAGGCGGUUCGGAAAGAAAGAUGUGAAAUCCCAGAGCUUAACUUUGGAACUGCAUUUUUAACUACCGAGCUAGAGUGUGUCAGAGGGAGGUGGAAUUCCGCGUGUAGCAGUGAAAUGCGUAGAUAUGCGGAGGAACACCGAUGGCGAAGACAGCCUCCUGGGAUAACACUGACGCUCAUGCACGAAAGCGUGGGGAGCAAACAGGAUUAGAUACCCU
rnacentral:rRNA from 1 species